rnacentral:tRNA from 1 species
GAUGGUUUAACUCAAUGGCAGAGUACUAUCCUGAUACGAUAGAAGCUGAUAGUUCGAAUCUAUCAACCAUCA